rnacentral:piRNA from 1 species
UAACUCCACUGUCAGGACCAUUUCUCCUGC